CUGGGAGAGGAGCCCCACAUCCUCUGUCUCUGCUGAUCCCUUUCUGUCCUCAGAACUGUCCUCAUAGUCCCCACCAUGCAGUCUGUCCUCAGUCUGCUUUCCAUCCUGACCCUGCUCCAAGGUGUGCAGGGUGAUGUCCAGCUGGUGGAGUCCGGGGGAGACUUGAAACAGCCUGGCGGGUCUCUGCGCCUCUCAUGUAAAGCCUCUGGAUUGACCAGCAGCUACUACAACAUGAUUUGGGUCCGCCAGGCUCCAGGGAAGGGGCUGGAAUGGGUCGCUAGCAUUUAUAAUUAUGAUAGUAGCACUUACUAUGCGGACUCUGUGAAAGGACGAUUCACUAUCUCCUGGGACAAGGCCAACAGCCUCCUGAGUUUGCAAAUGAACAGCCUGAAAACCGAGGACACGGCCCUCUAUUACUGUGCUGUAGACUUAGCCGGAUACUUAAAUCACUGGGGCCAAGGCACCAUGGUCACCAUCUCCUCAGCUUCACAACAAGCCCCACUUCUCUUCCCUCUCGUCCCCUCCUGUGGGGAUUCCCUAAACCAAGAAAGCUCACUGGCCGUGGGGUGCCUGGCCAAGAACUUCCUGCCCAACUCCAUCACCCUCUCCUGGGACUUCAAGAACAGAACCACUGUGGGGACUGAGAAAUUCAUAAACUACCCGACAGUCCUUAGUGGACAAGCCUAUUCCACGACCUCCCAACUGAUGAUCUCUGCCACCGAAGUCAUGAUGGGGCAGGACGACUACGUGUUCUGCAAGGCUAAGCAUGCUGUGGGGAACAAGGAAAUCAGAGUGCCCCUCAGAGGCCAGGGAAAGGCAUCAAAGAGAAGGGUCCCGAGAGACAGAAUCGUCGCCCAGCCCAGUAGGCCCAACGUGAGCCUCCACAUACCCACUCGGGAAGAAUUCCUGGGUCCUGAACUGGAGGGCACCAUCAUCUGUCAGGCCAAGCACUUCAACCCCAAGGAAAUUUCCCUCAAGUGGCUGAAGAACGGGGAGCUGCUCAAUGGUGGCUUCACCACCGAGGGCCCCACACUCGACGGUUCCAAAACCUACCAACUCUCCAGCUCCCUGACAGUAAGCGAUACCGACUGGUUCAAGGCCACCGACUUCACCUGUGUCGUGGAACAUCCGAAGACCCACUUCAUAGAGAUGAGGAACGCAUCGUACAAGUGUGCUGGGGUACCAUCAUCAUCCAUCAAGAUCUCCACCACCCCACCCUCUUUUGCCGGCAUCUUCACCACCAAGUCUGCCAAGCUGGUGUGCUCAGUCACUGGCAUGUCCACUUCUGACAGUCUGUCCAUCGUCUGGACUCAAUAUGAAGGAAAGGAGCUGACGACCAAAACCAGCGUGUCCAAAAUCCAGCCCGAUGGCACCUUCAGUGCCACGGGAGAGGCCUCAGUCUGUGCUGAAGACUGGCAGUCCGGGAAGAGGUUCACGUGUACCGUGUCCCAUGCGGACCUCCCAGCCCCCCAGAGCGCCUACAUCUCCAAGCAGAAGGAGGUAAAUCUCCACUCCCCAGCUGUGUACGUCCUCCCCCCUGCCUCGGAUCAGCUCAGCCUACGAGAGUCGGCCACUCUCUCCUGCCUGGUGAAGAGCUUCUCCCCGGCCGAUGUGAUGGUCCAGUGGCUGCAUAAGGGCCAGCCGGUGCCCCAGGACAAAUACACUGUCAGUGCCCCCAUGCCUGAGCCCCAGAGCCCCAACCUGUACUUCGCCUACAGCACCCUGACCGUGGCUGAGGAGGAGUGGAGUGCCGGGGACUCUUUCACCUGCGUCGUCGUGCACGAGGCCCUGCCCCUGUACGUGAUGGAGAGGACCGUGGACAAGUCCACCGGUAAACCCACCCACAUCAAUGUCUCCCUCGUGAUGUCCGACACGGCCAACACCUGCUACUAACUGCCCGUGGUCCCCCAGCGACCUCUGCCCAUCGCCCCUGCUUUGUCCCUGACUUCGUUAAUUUCCCCUCAGCUCACUUACAGGGUGGAUUCUGGGGGCUGCAGAGGACACUGAAUCCCCAGUUGUGUAUAUGAGAGAAUGAUGUCAUUAGAAUGAGGAAAAGUUGGCUGCCUUUUAUCAAAAUCAGAAAUAAAAAAAAAAUCAAUUUCAACCAA